rnacentral:rRNA from 1 species
CCUACGGGGAGCAGCAGUGGGGAAUAUUGGACAAUGGGCGAAAGCCUGAUCCAGCCAUGCCGCGUGUGUGAAGAAGGCCUUCGGGUUGUAAAGCACUUUCAGUGGGGAAGAAAGCCUUGGGGCUAAUACCCUCGAGGAAGGACAUCACCCACAGAAGAAGCACCGGCUAACUCCGUGCCAGCAGCCGCGGUAAUACGGAGGGUGCGAGCGUUAGUCGGAAUUACUGGGCGUAAAGCGCGCGUAGGCGGUCUGAUAAGCCGGUUGUGAAAGCCCCGGGCUCAACCUGGGAACGGCAUCCGGAACUGUCAGGCUAGAGUGCAGGAGAGGAAGGUAGAAUUCCCGGUGUAGCGGUGAAAUGCGUAGAGAUCGGGAGGAAUACCAGUGGCGAAGGCGGCCUUCUGGACUGACACUGACGCUGAGGUGCGAAAGCGUGGGUAGCAAACAGGAUUAGAUACCCCGGUAGUC